rnacentral:rRNA from 1 species
AUUGAACGCUGGCGGAAUGCUUUACACAUGCAAGUCGGGCGGCAGCGCGGGGGCAACCCUGGCGGCGAGCGGCGAACGGGUGAGUAAUACAUCGGAACGUGUCCUUAAGUGGGGGAUAGCUCGGCGAAAGCCGGAUUAAUACCGCAUAAGCUCUGAGGAGGAAAGCGGGGGAUCGUCUAGAAACUGGAGACUAGAAACUAGAGACUAGAUUGAUAAGGUGCGGCGAAGCCGCGCUUCGUUAGUCUAGUUUCCAGUCUCUAGUGUCUAGUUUCUAGACGACCUCGCGCUGUUGGAGCGGCCGAUGUCGGAUUAGCUAGUUGGUGGGUAAAGGCUCACCAAGGCGACGAUCCGUAGCUGGUCUGAGAGG